GUGCUCACUUCGGCAGCACAUAUACUAAAAUUGGAACGAUACAGAGAUUAGCAUGGCCCCUGUGCAAGGAUGACACGCAAAUUCGUGAAGCAUUCCAUAUUUUU
ensembl:snRNA U6 U6 spliceosomal RNA